ACCAUAAUAGAAAUGCAGACUAGGGAAGAUGACAUGAAGAAUCUAUACGAAGCAUCAAUAAAAGGUGAUACAUCUACUCUCAACAUUUUACUCCAAAAAGAUCCGCUCAUUCUCCACAGAAUUUCACUCUCCACCUUCAUUGAAUCUCCUCUCCACAUAUCAUCCUUGCUCGGCCAUGCAGAUUUCGCCAAAUCUCUUCUCAACCAAAAACCGAAGCUCACCGCCGAGUUGGACUCUCAAGGACAAUCUCCUCUUCAUAUGGCUUCUGCUGAGGGAAAUAUGGAGAUUAUUAAUGUGUUGUUGAGCAUUAACGCCGGCGUCUGCUUGGUUUCUGAUCAGAAUGGAAGAAUUUCUAUUCAUUUAGCGGCGAUGAGAGGACGAACUGAGGUCAUACAACAGUUGAUCAGAGCUUGUCCUGAAUCAGCUUGGGCGAAAACCAACGGUGGCGAUACUGUUUUACACUUGUGUGUUAAGUAUAACCAUUUGGAAUCGCUGAAAUUGUAGGUGCCGUUUUUUAGUGAAGAUGCCGAAUUUCUUAACUCCAUGGAUAAUGAUGGGAACAGUGUCUUGCAUUUGGCUGUGAUUAUGAAACAAUUGGAGACAAUCAAGUACUUGGUAUCAAUACCUGAUAUAAAAGUGGAAGCUACCACAUUAUCUUCAAUCUUCAAAGAAUACCCAACAAAAAUCAAAAAAUUCCCAUCAGGACAAAACUCAAAUAACUCAGAGAAUGGUGGAGAUUGGUUAGAAAAAGCAAGAGGAAAUCUCAUGGUUGUAGCAACUGUAAUAGCAGGAAUGGCAUUCCAAGCAGCAAUGAAUCCACCAGGAGGAGUUUGGGAAUCAGAUAAUAAAGAAUGUUCUACAUCAUAAGGACAAAUGAGAACAUGCAAAGCAGGAACUUCAAUAUUAGCAUAUACUGAUAAAACAAGACAUCAUCAAUUUAUCCUCGACAACACAACAUCCUUUUCAGCAUCAUUAACAACAAUUUUUUUACUUAUUAGCGGAGUUCCUUUGAAGAAAAAGGUAUAUAUUUGGA